rnacentral:rRNA from 1 species
UGAGGAAUAUUGGUCAAUGGGCGUGAGCCUGAACCAGCCAAGUAGCGUGCAGGAAGACGGCCCUAUGGGUUGUAAACUGCUUUUAUGCGGGGAUAAAGGAGUCCACGUGUGGAUUUUUGCAGGUACCGCAUGAAUAAGGACCGGCUAAUUCCGUGCCAGCAGCCGCGGUAAUACGGAAGGUCCGGGCGUUAUCCGGAUUUAUUGGGUUUAAAGGGAGCGUAGGCCGCGUUUUAAGCGUGUUGUGAAAUGUAGACGCCCAACGUCUGCAUCGCAGCGCGAACUGGGACGCUUGAGUACGCGCAACGUUGGCGGAAUUCGUCGUGUAGCGGUGAAAUGCUUAGAUAUGACGAGGAACUCCGAUUGCGAAGGCAGCCGACGGGAGCGGCACUGACGCUUAAGCUCGAAGGUGCGGGUAUCAAACAGG